rnacentral:misc_RNA from 1 species
UGAAUAAAAUUCGUGUGUAAUGCUAGUUUGCGUAAAUGUAUGAAUAAGAAAAUUAAUAAAAGAAACAAUAAAACAAGCUUUAGGAAUCAUUAGUAAAGGCUAACCCUUAUUCUAAAGUAAGUCCAGGUGGAGAAGGUAACCAAUACAUUCCCUCUCUCAUACUCAUUAUCUCAAACCUUCCCUCUCUCAUACUCAUUAUCU